rnacentral:rRNA from 1 species
UACAGAGGGUGCAAGCGUUAAUCGGAAUUACUGGGCGUAAAGCGCAUGUAGGCGGUUUGUUAAGUUUGAUGUGAAAGCCCUGGGCUUAACCUGGGAAUGGCGUUGAAAACUGAUAGACUAGAGUCGGACAGAGGGUCGUAGAAUUUCCGGUGUAGCGGUGAAAUGCGUAGAGAUCGGAAAGAAUACCAGUGGCGAAGGCGGCGACCUAGGUCCAGACUGACACUGAGGUGCGAAAGCGUGGGGAGCAAACAGG